rnacentral:antisense_RNA from 1 species
UGUCAUGGUGGGCUGUGUGGGGACACCUUCGGGUGUGCCGGGUUCCAAGUUUCCCGGUCGGCCAACCCCGCACAGUCCGCCACCAUU